UCAAAGGCUCUUUUCAGAGCCACCCAAACCUACACAAAGGUGCUGU
rfam:Mus musculus chromosome 13, GRC primary reference assembly.